rnacentral:rRNA from 1 species
UACGGAGGGUGCGAGCGUUGUUCGGAAUCAUUGGGCGUAAAGAGCUCGUAGGUGGUUUGUCGCGUUGUUCGUGAAAACCGGGGGCUUAACCCUCGGCGUGCGGGCGAUACGGGCAGACUUGAGUACUGCAGGGGAGACUGGAAUUCCUGGUGUAGCGGUGGAAUGCGCAGAUAUCAGGAGGAACACCGGUGGCGAAGGCGGGUCUCUGGGCAGUAACUGACGCUGAGGAGCGAAAGCGUGGGGAGCGAACAGG